CGUAACACGUGAGCAACCUUCCGAGAUAUGGGGGAUAGCCGGCCUAACGGCCGAGUAAUACCGCAUACGCUCUCGAUGAGGCAUUUCAUUGAGAGGAAACCUCCGGGGUAUUUCGAGGGGCUCGCGGCCUAUCAGCUAGUUGGCGAGGUAACGGCUCACCAAGGCAACGACGGGUAGCUGGUCUGAGAGGAUGGCCAGCCACAUUGGGACUGAGAUACGGCCCAG
rnacentral:rRNA from 1 species